UACGUAGGGGGCAAGCGUUAUCCGGAUUUACUGGGUGUAAAGGGAGCAUAGACGGCACGGCAAGCCAGAUGUGAAAGCCCGGGGCUCAACCCCGGGACUGCAUUUGGAACUGCUGAGCUAGAGUGUCGGAGAGGCAAGUGGAAUUCCUAGUGUAGCGGUGAAAUGCGUAGAUAUUAGGAGGAACACCAGUGGCGAAGGCGGCUUGCUGGACGAUGACUGACGUUGAGGCUCGAAAGCGUGGGGAGCAAACAGG
rnacentral:rRNA from 1 species